rnacentral:rRNA from 1 species
UACGAAGGGGGCUAGCGUUGCUCGGAAUCACUGGGCGUAAAGCGCACGUAGGCGGAUUGCUAAGUCAGGGGUGAAAUCCUGGAGCUCAACUCCAGAACUGCCUUUGAUACUGGUAAUCUUGAGUCCGGGAGAGGUGAGUGGAACUGCGAGUGUAGAGGUGAAAUUCGUAGAUAUUCGCAAGAACACCAGUGGCGAAGGCGGCUCACUGGCCCGGUACUGACGCUGAGGUGCGAAAGCGUGGGGAGCAAACAGG